GGACGCCUGCCUGUCACGCAGGAGAUCACGGGUUCGAACCCCGUUGUGACCG
rnacentral:tRNA from 1 species